rnacentral:rRNA from 1 species
UGGGGAAUCUUGCGCAAUGGGCGAAAGCCUGACGCAGCGACGCCGCGUGCGGGAUGACGGCCUUCGGUUGUAAACCGCUUUCAGCAGGGACGAGGCCGCAAGGUGACGGUACCUGCAGAAGAAGCCCGGCUAACUACGUGCC